rnacentral:rRNA from 1 species
ACUACCCGCUGAACUUAAGCAUAUCAAUAAGCGGAGGAAAAGAAACCAACAGGGAUUGCCUCAGUAACGGCGAGUGAAGCGGCAAAAGCUCAAAUUUGAAAUCCCCCGGGAAUUGUAAUUUGAAGAGAUUUGGGUCCGGCCGGCAGGGGUUAAGUCCACUGGAAAGUGGCGCCACAGAGGGUGACAGCCCCGUGAACCCCUUCAACGCCUUCAUCCCAGAUCUCCAAGAGUCGAGUUGUUUGGGAAUGCAGCUCUAAGUGGGUGGUAAAUUCCAUCUAAAGCUAAAUACCGGCGAGAGACCGAUAGCGAACAAGUACAGUGAUGGAAAGAUGAAAAGCACUUUGAAAAGAGAGUGAAAAAGUACGUGAAAUUGUUGAAAGGGAAGGGCUUGCAAGCAGACACUUAACUGGGCCAGCAUCGGGGCGGUGGGAAACAAAACCACCGGGGAAUGUACCUUUCGAGGAUUAUAACCCCGGUCUCAAUUUCCUCACCACCCCGAGGCCUGCAAUCUAAGGAU